rnacentral:tRNA from 1 species
UGGUAGAGCGCAACCUUGCCAAGGUUGAGGUCGCGAGUUCGAGACUCGUUUCCCGCUCCA